rnacentral:rRNA from 1 species
UACGGAGGGAGCUAGCGUUGUUCGGAAUUACUGGGCGUAAAGCGCGCGUAGGCGGCUUUGUAAGUUAGAGGUGAAAGCCCGGGGCUCAACUCCGGAAUUGCCUUUAAGACUGCAUCGCUAGAAUCCGGGAGAGGUGAGUGGAAUUCCGAGUGUAGAGGUGAAAUUCGUAGAUAUUCGGAAGAACACCAGUGGCGAAGGCGGCUCACUGGACCGGUAUUGACGCUGAGGCGCGAAAGCGUGGGGAGCAAACAGG